ACUCAAAGGAAUUGACGGGGACCCGCACAAGCAGAGGAUGAUGUGGUUUAAUUUGACGAUACGCGGAGAACCUUACCGAGGCUUGACAUCCUGGGAAUCCUGCAGAAAUGCGGGAGUGCCCUCGGGAGCCUAGUGACAGGCGCUGCAUGGCCGUCGUCAGCUCGUGUCGUGAGAUGUUGGGUUAAGUCCCGCAACGAGCGCAACCCUCGUCGUAUGUUGUAUUUUUCAUGCGAGACUGCCCGGGCCAACCGGGAGGAAGGUGGGGAUGACGUCAGGUCAGCAUGGCCCUUACGCCUCGGGCUACACACGUCAUACAAUGGCCGGUACAACGCGCCGCGAAACCGCGAGGUGGAGCUAAUCGCACCAAAACCGGUCUCAGUUCGGAUUGCAGGCUGCAACUCGCCUGCAUGAAGUCGGAUUUGCUAGUAAACGUAGGUCAGCACACUACGUUGAAUACGUUCCCGGGUCUUGCACACACCGCCCGU
rnacentral:rRNA from 1 species